UAAAAUGGCCCCAGGGCUGAGCCUAAACAGUGGAAAUGAGAGAGACCGAAGACAGACAGCCCUUUGCAAGUGCGACCCCCGUGCACCACGGAAAGCCAAGAUUUCCAAGUUCUAGGACAAUUCCACAUAAAGGAUAAAAGAAACGCUGAAAUCCGCUCCGAAGGCUUCAGCUCGUGGACAGCUUGUGAAUUGUGCUCCCCUCGGUCUCUGCACAUCCCCAACAUGGACUUUCCGAGCUCGCAGUGGGCACUUACCCUUGUGAUGUACGUGCUGCUUGGCAACUAUGGAGUGCGAAAGCUGCUGCCCGUGACCCAGGAUGGAUCAGCAGAUGCAGGCUGACACCUGGCACCUCUCCUCUGCAGCACAGCCAAGCCUGCACAGGAUUUACAACCGACUCCAGCUGCAGGAAGUCCCACAGGGCCAAGUGGCCCCCAAAAGUGCUCCGUGUCCCUGUGGUGCAGCCAGACGUACUGACGGGAUGGGACAGCUGGGGCUGGGAGAACCUUGGCCCAGGUUUGGGUUUCUGUUCCUUUCUUCACCAUGUGGUUGUGCUCAAGUGUUUAAGAAUUCCUCCAAAGCCUUGAGUUAUUUGCUUCUGAGUGCAAGAAUAUGUCUUUUCUCAAAUAACAUGCACCAUUGUUCAGUUACCACUGCAUUAGUGGUUUUCAUCUUUGGGGCACUCACUUCUUUCGCUGUUUUUGUGCUUGCAGAAGUGACUUUGAUCACCUGCUGCUGA
rnacentral:lncRNA from 1 species